AACACCAGAAGAGGAGCGAUAACUAGGUAAAUAGCGUUAUACCGAAAGGUAUUAGGAACCACAUUCUGAUCAACGUUAUUGAGGGAGUUUAUCGCCGAGAGUUCCAAGCGUGUGGCGUUUGCAGCUCGGUCGCUAAGGCUGAAUCCUUAGGGCUGUCACCUGUCUUUAACUGUCUGAAAAGACAAAGGUGGAGAGCUUCUGGCUGA
rnacentral:ncRNA from 2 species